GGCGAUCAGAUACCGCCCUAGUUCUGACCGUAAACGAUGCCAACUAGCGAUCCGCCAGUCGACUCAUCGCUCUGGUGGGGAGCUUCCCGGAAACGAAAGUCUUCCGGUUCCGGGGGAAGUAUGGUUGCAAAGCUGAAACUUAAAGGAAUUGACGGAAGGGCGCCACCAGGAGUGGAGCCUGCGGCUUAAUUUGACUCAACACGGGGAAACUCACCCGGCCCGGACACCGUAAGGAUUGACAGAUUGAUAGCUUUUUCAUGAUUCGGUGGAUGGUGGUGCAUGGCCGUUCUUAGUUCGUGGAGCGAUUUGUCUGGUUUAUUCCGAUAACGAGCGAGACUCUGGCCUACUAAAUAGUUGACGCAUUGCCACUGUGCGCACAACUUCUUAGAGGGAUUUUCGGUGUUUUCAACCGCACGAAAUUGAGCAAUAACAGGUCUGUGAUGCCCUUAGAUGUCCGGGGCUGCACGCGCGCUACACUGGCAAACGCAACGUGCCUGUCCUGCCCCGAAAGGAGCGGGUAAACCCCUGAAAUUUUGCCGUGAUUGGGAUCGGACAUUGCAACUAUUGUCCGUGAACGAGGAAUUCCUUGUAGGGGCGAGUCAUCAACUCGUCCCGAAUACGUCCCUGCCCUUUGUA
rnacentral:rRNA from 1 species